rnacentral:rRNA from 1 species
GAUGAACGCUAGCUACAGGCUUAACACAUGCAAGUCGAGGGGCAGCAUGGUCUUAGCUUGCUAAGACUGAUGGCGACCGGCGCACGGGUGAGUAACACGUAUCCAACCUGCCGUCUACUCUUGGACAGCCUUCUGAAAGAAAGAUUAAUACCUGAUGGUAUCUUAAGCACACAUGUAAUUAAGAUUAAAGAUUUAUCGGUGUACGAUGGGGAUGCGUUCCGUUAGGUAGUAGGCGGGGUAACGGCCCACCUAGCCUACGAUGGAUAGGGGUUCUGAGAGGAAGGUCCCCCCACAUUGGAACUGAGACACGGUCCAAACUCCUACGGGAGGCAGCAGUGAGGAAUAUUGGUCAAUGGACGAGAGUCUGAACCAGCCAAGUAGCGUGAAGGAUGAAGGUCCUACGGAUUGUAAACUUCUUUUAUAAGGGAAUAAAACCUCCCACGUGUGGGAGCUUGUAUGUACCUUAUGAAUAAGCAUCGGCUAACUCCGUG